rnacentral:rRNA from 2 species
UGCAGUCGAGCGAACUGAUUAGAAGCUUGCUUCUAUGACGUUAGCGGCGGACGGGUGAGUAACACGUGGGCAACCUGCCUGUAAGACUGGGAUAACUUCGGGAAACCGAAGCUAAUACCGGAUAGGAUCUUCUCCUUCAUGGGAGAUGAUUGAAAGAUGGUUUCGGCUAUCACUUACAGAUGGGCCCGCGGUGCAUUAGCUAGUUGGUGAGGUAACGGCUCACCAAGGCAACGAUGCAUAGCCGACCUGAGAGGGUGAUCGGCCACACUGGGACUGAGACACGGCCCAGACUCCUACGGGAGGCAGCAGUAGGGAAUCUUCCGCAAUGGACGAAAGUCUGACGGAGCAACGCCGCGUGAGUGAUGAAGGCUUUCGGGUCGUAAAACUCUGUUGUUAGGGAAGAACAAGUACGAGAGUAACUGCUCGUACCUUGACGGUACCUAACCAGAAAGCCACGGCUAACUACGUGCCAGCAGCCGCGGUAAUACGUAGGUGGCAAGCGUUAUCCGGAAUUAUUGGGCGUAAAGCGCGCGCAGGCGGUUUCUUAAGUCUGAUGUGAAAGCCCACGGCUCAACCGUGGAGGGUCAUUGGAAACUGGGGAACUUGAGUGCAGAA